ACUCCUACGGGAGGCAGCAGUAGGGAAUCUUCCACAAUGGACGAAAGUCUGAUGGAGCAACGCCGCGUGAGUGAAGAAGGGUUUCGGCUCGUAAAACUCUGUUGUUAAAGAAGAACAUAUCUGAGAGUAACUGUUCAGGUAUUGACGGUAUUUAACCAGAAAGCCACGGCUAACUACGUGCCAGCAGCCGCGGUAAUACGUAGGUGGCAAGCGUUGUCCGGAUUUAUUGGGCGUAAAGCGAGCGCAGGCGGUUUUUAAGUCUGAUGUGAAAGCCUUCGGCUCAACCGAAGAAGUGCAUCGGAAACUGGGAAACUUGAGUGCAGAAGAGGACAGUGGAACUCCAUGUGUAGCGGUGAAAUGCGUAGAUAUAUGGAAGAACACCAGUGGCGAAGGCGGCUGUCUGGUCUGUAACUGACGCUGAGGCUCGAAAGUAUGGGUAGCAAACAGGAUUAGAUACCCUGGUAGGAUAGCG
rnacentral:rRNA from 1 species